UACAAUAACCAUCAGAGCAUUACAACAAAUCACAGCACAUACCCAAGGCAGACAGAGCUGCGCUCGGUAGUGAAGUGAAAGCACACUAUAAAAAAAAACUACUGAAUAAUAAUAAUAAUAAUACGAGACUGAAGUUACUCUCCACGAAGGUUCGGAACCCAAUGUUGAACAACGAAUUGAAAUACAAAGUUUAUAACAUUCCAAGGUUCGAAACUCAAGGUUUAACACCGAAUUGAUAGACAGAUUUUAUGAAGUCACGGUUCGAAAUCCACUGUCGAAAUCCGACGUUUGAAAACCGAAUGUUUACAAAACUGGAAAUCUGGAUUUUAUAAAACCCAAAAUUUUUGGAAAGCUACUUUUGAAAAACCAAGAUAUGGAGUCCGAACUUCUGAACUGUGUAUAUAUGUUACCCUUGUAACUUUUGACUGCACGUUUGGUGUAGCCUUGGCUGUUUGUAUAUAUAUUUGUUGUAAGCUGUUUUUAUGUUGGUGAUUAAUAAUAGUUUUACAAAGAAA